rnacentral:rRNA from 1 species
GGGUCAGUAGGUUGGUCGUGCCACCGGUACGUACUGGCCUCACUGAUUCCUCCUUCCUGAAGAACCGUAAUGCCAUGAAUUUGGUGUUGCGGGGAAACAGGACUGUUACUUUGAAAAAAUUAGAGUGUUUAAAGCAAGCUAACGCUUGAAUACAUUAGCAUGGAAUAAUGAAAUAGGACGAUCGAUCCUAUUUUGUUGGUUUCUAGGAUUGACGUA